GGACACGUAGCUCAGUGGUUUAGAGCACCGCCAUUUAUGCGGAUGGGCACGGGUAUGAAUCCCGUCGUGUCCU
rfam:Phytophthora parasitica INRA-310 unplaced genomic scaffold supercont2.109, whole genome shotgun sequence.